rnacentral:lncRNA from 1 species
UGAGUCAAGUGGCAGCACCUUUUCCGCUACUGCGAUGCCACCAGUUUCUGUUUCUCCAUCAACUCUCUCAACAUCAUCAGGGCUCAAUAGGUCACCAGAUUUGAGCUGCAAAGCACAAGCUCAAUUCUGGAUGGUACUGUUUUCCCAUGGACAGAAUUGACAACACCAGAUAAAAAUAGCCAUGUUCACCUUGAGGAAGAACUCAAGUGGCCUGACUUGCUCCACUGAACAUUCACACACACGCCUAAAACCAUGCAGAAUCUUAGCCAGUCACUGUACGAAGAUGUUAUCAAAGCCGACAGCCAAUUUAACACAGAGGGCCUCUGUGCAGCCUGGUCUCAAAAUCUGCAGCCACAGCUAGCAACAUCUGCAGGUAGUGUCAGAUUUUUAUGACAAGGAUCUGCAGAGAAUGUCUGUUAGAACUCUAACGAGGAUGGACAAUGGAAUACACGAACAAAUAUUUGG